rnacentral:lncRNA from 1 species
UGCACUGGGAUCUGGAAGCUUCAUGCAUGUUUCAGAACACCUUUAAACAGCAGGCUUUUGAGGGAGUGGUGGAAGGAGGCUACUAUUUAAACAAAGUGCUUAUUCUACUUGAAGAAGUUGAAUUGCAGUCUGGGGGUGCACUACGGCCACUCCCAAAGCUGCGGGCACAACAAGCUGAGGCAUCACUUAACACUGUAUUUUAAGGCCUUGUAGCCCGAGAUGAGAUGCACCCAAACAAACCUGGAAGGACUGGAGACUAGGGAUGGGGCGAAAGGUAAGACUCAUAAGAAAUGCAGUAGGUCUGGGCUGUGGUGGCUGGUGUGUGCCAUGACCAUCCCUCCCCAUUCACAAUAGUCUUUUCCUUCUCUCAGGAAGAAGGGCCUUCUUUCCUCAACAAGUAGCUUACGCUACUGCAGGUUUUUAAUUAGAACAGGCAAGAGCUUCCUCUUUUCACUCUCAGGACACUCAGCCUUAGAAACAGAAUAGCAGCUGUUAUUUCCAAUCCCUCUUGUACGCAAACAGGGAAAGAAUUGUAAUACUUAAAGUUAGUUUCUCUUGAAAAAGAAGUGUCCCAUUUUCUU